GUAGGUGGCAAGCGUUGUCCGGGAAUUAUUGGGGCGUAAAGCGCGCGCAGGCGGUUCUUUAAGUCUGAUGUGAAAGCCCACGGGCUCAACCGUGGAGGGUCAUUGGAAACUGGGGAACUUGAGUACAGAAGAGGAAAGCGGAAUUCCACGUGUAGCGGUGAAAUGCGUAGAGAUGUGGAGGAACGCCAGUGGCGAAGGCGGCUUUCUGGUCUGUAACUGACGCUGAGGCGCGAAAGCGUGGGGAGCAAACAGGAUUAGAUACCCUGGUAGUCCACGCCGUAAACGAUGAGUGCUAAGUGUUAGGGGGUUUCCGCCCCUUAGUGCUGCAGCUAACGCAUUAAGCACUCCGCCUGGGGAGUACGGCCGCAAAGGCUGA
rnacentral:rRNA from 1 species